UAUUUUCAGAAAAAUGGUUGCGUGCAUCGUCGUCAAAUGGAACGUGAUUCGAGCCACUCAAAUUAUUGGUGUAGGUCACUUUAAGAAUUAAACAGUGUCAAUGCAAUUCAUCAAUAUUAGUACUCAUCGCCUUGCAUGAAUUCUAUAAAAGCAGUCUUCUUCAUUGAGUAGACCUACAUGUCAAAUUCUUGUGAGGAUGUUGGGAUUUUUGGUUCGUCCGAAGCAUUUCCUAUUAUGUAUUAAGUGACGGUACACAAUUUGAAGCAGUCAAUCAUUGCAUUUGUAGGCAUGCAUUAUAGGGCUGUUCAGGAUCUUGUGCAUAUGCUCUUUCAUUUGCAUAUUUGUUUCAUUUGUAAAUUCACCACAAUAAAAUGCACACAGUUGCCACGGCAGCAAGCAUAAAAUUUGCAAAUGCAAUUCCUACUGAAAAUCUAAGACAAUUUCGCUAACAUCCUGAAGAGCCCUUAUAUGUUUUAUGCACAUGGAUAUACGAAGACGUAAGCACUCCUGUUGCAGGCAGUGAUAUUAUAUUUAAUAUCAGUGUAAGUGGUUUUGUCUUCUUCCAAUGGCGGUGGUGCUGGUGCAUGAGGUGGCGAUUGCACAAUUUUACAACCAACAGUAUAGAGACAACAAAAUCGAACCAUAUAGUGUAUGUGAUGGCAGUAUGCAGAGAAUAAAAUUGCUUCGAGUGCUUGCAUUGCAUUGUUACAUAAGUGUAUGGAAAUAAAUCAUACGUUAACAGUGUGAAGCAGUUAUUUCUAUUGGGCAUGCACGUUUUAAUACUUAAACU